ACUCCUACGGGAGGCAGCAGUGGGGAAUCUUGGACAAUGGGCGCAAGCCUGAUCCAGCCAUGCCGCGUGAGUGAUGAAGGCCUUAGGGUCGUAAAGCUCUUUCGCCAGGGAUGAUAAUGACAGUACCUGGUAAAGAAACCCCGGCUAACUCCGUGCCAGCAGCCGCGGUAAUACGGAGGGGGUUAGCGUUGUUCGGAAUUACUGGGCGUAAAGCGCGCGUAGGCGGAUCGGAAAGUUGGGGGUGAAAUCCCGGGGCUCAACCCCGGAACUGCCUCCAAAACUAUCGGUCUAGAGUUCGAGAGAGGUGAGUGGAAUUCCGAGUGUAGAGGUGAAAUUCGUAGAUAUUCGGAGGAACACCAGUGGCGAAGGCGGCUCACUGGCUCGAUACUGACGCUGAGGUGCGAAAGUGUGGGGAGCAAACAGGAUUAGAUACCCUGGUAGGAUAGCG
rnacentral:rRNA from 1 species